rnacentral:rRNA from 1 species
UGAUCCUGGCUCAGAACGAACGCUGGCGGCAGGCUUAACACAUGCAAGUCGAACGGUCUCUUCGGAGGCAGUGGCAGACGGGUGAGUAACGCGUGGGAAUCUACCUAUCUCUACGGGACCAACAAGUUGGAAACGACUGCUAAAUACCGUAUACGCCCCCCCUUUGUGAUUUAUUGGGGUGGGGAAAAGAUUUUAUCCGGAGGAUAGGAUGAGCCCGCCGUUUAGAAUUAGGCUUAGGUUGGUGAGGGUAAUGGGCUCAACCAAGGCGGACGGAUUCUAUAGCUGGUCCUGAGAAGGAUUGAUUCAAGCCACCACUGGGACUGAGACCACGGCCCAGACUCCUACGGGAGGCAGCAGUGGGGAAUAUUGGACAAUGGGCGCAAGCCUGAUCCAGCCAUGCCGCGUGUGUGAUGAAGGCCCUAGGGUUGUAAAGCACUUUCAACGGUGAAGAUAAUGACGGUAACCGUAGAAGAAGCCCCGGCUAACUUCGUGCCAGCAGCCGCGGUAAUACGAAGGGGGCUAGCGUUGUUCGGAAUUACUGGGCGUAAAGCGUACGUAGGCGGACUAUUAAGUUAGGGGUGAAAUCCCAGGGCUCAACCCUGGAACUGCCUCUAAUACUGGUAGUCUUGAGUUCGAGAGAGGUGAGUGGAAUUCCGAGUGUAGAGGUGAAAUUCGUAGAUAUUCGGAGGAACACCAGUGGCGAAGGCGGCUCACUGGCUCGAUACUGACGCUGAGGUACGAAAGUGUGGGGAGCAAACAGGAUUAGAUACCCUGGUAGU